rnacentral:misc_RNA from 1 species
AACGCACAUUGCGCCCCCUGGUACUCCGGGGGGCAUGCCUGUCUGAGCGUCAUCGCACAACCCCUCGGGCCACGGCCCGGUGAUGGGGCGGGGCGCGGCCCACUCGGCCGCGCCCGCCCCCAAAUCCAUCGGACGGCGGCCCCGGCGUCGGGCCCGCGUACGUGUUUGAUCAGCCCCAGCGGCGAACCUCACGCAACGCGGAGCCAGGGCGACCGGGGACCCGCGGAAGGGUCCGCGGCGCGGGGUCCCCACGGGACCCGGCCGGGAAAAACCAGAGCACUUGACCUCAGAUCAGGUAGGGAUACCCGCUGAACUUAA